UUUCCUCCUUUGUGACCUUCGGGUUSCAAGGGGGACACGGUAGCGGCACCUGUGUCCCGAACAUGCCUCGACGCUAUGUUGUGGCUGUCACGGUCCUCGGGUGAUUGCUAGUGCUCUCGGAUUCGGAAUACUACGUGGGUGCGGGGGUCUYUGGCCCCCGAACGCUCGAAAUAGUCCCUUYACACGGAUGACCGUCGUGGCUGCACAAAUUCGUAGCCGAAAGGCACGCGGGUUUGUGCAGUUCACGACGUCCGAAAGGAAUG
rnacentral:misc_RNA from 1 species